rnacentral:SRP_RNA from 1 species
UUGUGGGCUAGGUUGGGGAGUUAGCAGUUCCUUGUUACCUGAAAUCUGCUUUAGCAGGAACCGAAGCUUUGAGGAAGGAUUUAAUUUUAGGGAUAAAAUCUUUUAUUGUUUCAAUGAACUUCUGUCCCCUAAGAUUGGAUUUUAAAGUCAACCCGCCAGAUUCGGAAGAAAGCAACGGAAAUUUUACUGUUCAAUGCUUUUGGGAGCCACGGAAGCAAGUGCAAUAAAAGGCUAAUUUUAUUUCUUUAAUUGAUUCGACUUUAAAGCAUGCUCACAC